rnacentral:misc_RNA from 1 species
GUUUAAGGUUCAUAAUGAACUGAGUAUAAGCAAGAAAACUCCUAAAUUAAAUAAUAAUGUCCACCACGCCUUUCAGUUUCACUAAUACAGAUUUUCUAAUCAAAUUCUGCUAUUAUGCCUUAAUUAACUCAAUGCAUAACUAGUUAUACAAACAGCGACAACAAUUUGAUACCAUAUUAAUUCACCCAUUAUAAUCCAAUCUCUUCACUUCCUUACCAGCACAUUGACCCUUCUCUGAUACAGAUCGGGCUGGACCUGGAUGAACUUUCUUAAGCAUCGAUGGAAAGCAACCACUCGAUUGUUUCACUUCAAAAUCAAAUCCCUCAGCCUUAGCACGUUCUUCUUCCAAUUUCUUCAAUGCCUCCUUAUGUAAUUUUCUCUGCACGUAUGCUUCAGCUAGGCAAUACCCAGGAGUUGCCAUGGCCCAAAAGAGGUUGAGCAGGACUGCAAGUCUCGAACUGAAGAAG